ACCUCAUUGAAACUAAAGAAGUGAUAGUUAAUGCGUAUCAUCAAAAAACAUCAAGGAUUAUUUCUAAACUUUAUCAUAGUUUAAUGGAAUGUCAAGCUAAAACUAAAUUUUAUGUAACAUUUAAGUGGGAAAAGGAAUUGAACAUCCCAAUCUCAGAAGAAGAAUGGCAUCA